UACGUAGGGUGCAAGCGUUGUCCGGAAUUAUUGGGCGUAAAGAGCUCGUAGGCGGUCUGUCGCGUCGGCUGUGAAAACUCGGGGCUCAACUCCGAGCCUGCAGUCGAUACGGGCAGACUAGAGUGCUGUAGGGGAGACUGGAAUUCCUGGUGUAGCGGUGAAAUGCGCAGAUAUCAGGAGGAACACCGAUGGCGAAGGCAGGUCUCUGGGCUGACACUGACGCUCAUGCACGAAAGCGUGGGGAGCAAACAGG
rnacentral:rRNA from 1 species